CAAAAAUUCUGAGUUCAUUCCCCCAAUAUGGACACACUGAUACCUGUUUUGUAGAUAGCUGCCUAUCUGGUCAUGAGCCAGUCCUCUCAUACCAUAUUUCUGCAAUUUAUCCAAUAGUAAGGUAUGGUCUAUGGUAUCGAAAGCAUUCUGUAAAUCAAAGAAAACUCCUACUGUGUACGGGUUAUUCUCAAUUGCAUUUGUUAUUCGUUCAACAAAGUCAAUUAAAGUCAAUGAGGUAGUUUGAUUCUUUCUGAAUCCAUACCACUUUUCACUGAGUAUGUGAUGUUUAGCUAUAAAAUCAUUUAGCCUCUUUGCAAAUACCUUUUCCAAAAUUUUUGAAAAUUGUAACAAGAGAGUGAUUGGCCUAUA